UACGUAGGGUGCAAGCGUUGUCCGGAAUUAUUGGGCGUAAAGAGCUCGUAGGCGGUUUGUCGCGUCUGCUGUGAAAACUCGAGGCUCAACCUCGGGCUUGCAGUGGGUACGGGCAGACUAGAGUGCGGUAGGGGAGACUGGAAUUCCUGGUGUAGCGGUGGAAUGCGCAGAUAUCAGGAGGAACACCGAUGGCGAAGGCAGGUCUCUGGGCCGCAACUGACGCUGAGGAGCGAAAGCAUGGGGAGCGAACAGG
rnacentral:rRNA from 1 species